rnacentral:tRNA from 2 species
GGGGUAUUAGUCCAAAAAAGACAACUGAUUUCGACUUAGUUAAUUAUGGUUUAAAUCCAUAAUACCCCU